rnacentral:tRNA from 1 species
AAGGAAUGUAUUUCAACAAAAAGAAC